rnacentral:rRNA from 1 species
UUGGAGGGCAAGUCUGGUGCCAGCAGCCGCGGUAAUUCCAGCUCCAAUAGCGUAUAUUAAAGUUGUUGCAGUUAAAAAGCUCGUAGUUGAAUUUCGGAGUUUGUCGGUCGGUCGGGCUUCACUGUCCGCACUGGCCUGAUGGAUUCCUACCUUCUGAAUAACUAGCAUGCUAUUAAGUUAGUGCGUUGGGGAAGCAGAGCUAUUACCUUGAAAAAAUUAGAGUGCUUAAAGCAGGCUUAUGCUUGAAUAGAUUAGCAUGGAAUAAUAAAAUAGGACGGCAUGGUUCUAUUUUGUUGGUUUCUAGGAUCACCGUAAUGAUUAAUAGGGAUAGUUGGGGGCAUUAGUAUUCAAUUGUCAGAGGUGAAAUUCUUGGAUUUAUUGAAGACUAACUUCUGCGAAAGCAUUUGCCAAGGGUGUUUUCAUUAAUCAAGAACGAAAGUUAGGGGAUCGAAGACGAUCAGAUACCGUCGUAGUCUUAACCAUAAACUAUGCCGACUAGGGAUCGGAUGAUGUUAAUUUUUUAAUGACUCAUUCGGCGCCUUACGGGAAAC